AUGGGCCACUGGUCAACCUUUCCUCUUCACAGGUUUUAAUAAACUACCCCCCCCCCCAGUGUUUUUAGUAAAAAUGCCACAAAGAUGGCAGAGAAAGGAAAUGAGGGGGGUACAGUUUUUGGUGUUGGGAGUUGUAGUUUUGCAACAGAUGGAAAGCCACAAGGGAUCAGUGGUGCAGUAUGUCAAUCUAGGACCAUGGUGUCUGAUCUUGAACUGGCAGCAGGAGCCACGACCACUUUAAAUCAAUGGCUGCAGGGACGUCUGACGAGUGACAUCCUUUGCUCCAGUAGCGCCAUUUUAAUAAAAAAAAAUUGCCCAAAAUCCCUUAGAUAACAGUCAUACAGAAUACAUUAGAAAGCUUUUUUGUUUUUCAGCCAAUCGGAGAGCAGCACUACUGAAAUAGAACUCUCAGGAGGUAACAGCGUGUCACACAUGUGAUGUCAUAACCAUUGUCCACCAGAGAGCAGCACUGAGCAGAUAUAACACUGCUCCUGCUCAUUCUUCAUCAAUGAGGGGCUGAUGCUGGACACUGUAGGGGCCGAGAAUGCAAAGUCACAUACACUACUGUGACUGAUGCACUAUUUCCAGGAUGUGGAGUAGCAUUUCCGGACCUACAGCAAGACGUUGGAUGAAGACGGAGAUUUCCAGACCUAUUCCAGAAGAAUUUGGAUGAAGGCACAGCCCCUCGAAUCACGCACAUACACAGACACAUUUGCCCAAAUUCUAGAGGUAACCUCCUUUAGUAUGCCCAGAGGAAGGGCAAUACAGUAGCCAUGGAUUCCCUACAGGUUUCCUCCCCUCUGGAGGUUUUUCCUGUCCUGAGUAUUAGUUACUGUACGCUCUUUGUGAGUGAUGGAGGUUACAAAAAAUCCCGACACAAACAUUUUUAUAUAUAAUAAAUAAAGUUCCCCUUUUUAAACCAU